GUCCUUGUAGCUCAGCUGGAUAGAGCGUUCGAUUCCUAAUCGAGAGGUCAUGCGUUCAAAUCGCAUCAAGGACACCA
rnacentral:tRNA from 2 species